AUUGAACGCUGGCGGCAUGCCUUACACAUGCAAGUCGAACGGCAGCACGGGAGCAAUCCUGGUGGCGAGUGGCGAACGGGUGAGUAAUAUAUCGGAACGUGCCCAGUCGUGGGGAAUAACGCAGCGAAAGCUGUGCUAAUACCGCAUACGAUCUACGGAUGAAAGCGGGGGAUCGCAAGACCUAGCGCGAAUGGAGCGGCCGAUAUCAGAUUAGCUAGUUGGUGGGGUAAAGGCCCACCAAGGCGACGAUCUGUAGCUGGUCUGAGAGGACGACCAGCCACACUGGAACUGAGACACGGUCCAGACUCCUACGGGAGGCAGCAGUGGGGAAUUUUGGACAAUGGGCGCAAGCCUGAUCCAGCAAUGCCGCGUGCAGGAUGAAGGCCUUCGGGUUGUAAACUGCUUUUGUACGGAACGAAACGGCCCUUUCUAAUACAGGGGGCUAAUGACGGUACCGUAAGAAUAAGCACCGGCUAACUACGUGCCAGCCGCCGCCGUAA
rnacentral:rRNA from 1 species